CGUGGGAACUUGAUUGACAGGUGACGCCACUGUUUGUUAGCCGCUCGGUGGCAGCUAGCUGGUGUCACCUGAAUUAGUCCCCGCUCGGUGAAUGGGACUUCUCGACCGCCGUGUCGGAGGCCUGCGGAGAACAUUUCCAGCCACUACCGGAUGUAUAAUCCGCCUGCUCUGCGGUCAGUCGUCCCAACAGAGAAGUCCGGGAAUCUCGCGCUCCUGUUUUUCCGUUUUCCUCCAGAUGUUGCAGACAGACUGGACCAGCGGAAGCUCAACAUGAGGCCGAACUGAACUGACUCAUCCCUUCAGCACUGACCCCAGGUCCACAUAUGGUUGUCGUCACCACAGUGGAUGAUGAGGACGUCAGUUGCUGCUCUUCCUCACAAAGUGGAA